GGGGAUGUUCUGGUUUUGACAGCAGACGACAUUGGAAAGUAAGCACGUGGAGCUUCGUGUUCUGGCUCCUAAAUAUCAGGACUCAAGCCUUAACUGGCAACAACAAUUACGCACUCGCUGCCUGAUCGGCCUUAGGCUGAUCACUUAAUCUUUCCGGGCAAGGCCCGGCAAGACGAGUAUCCCGCAGGGAUUUCCGCCUUCCGGAUCCCGGCAUAUGGGGUAUCAUCCACAGAGGGCUGGGUUGUAAAGAAUCUCCGGCUUUACAACGAGAUUUCAGGAGAUAAGGAGGAUAUGGCGUGCCUGCAGGCAGUCUCCUUCCGACAAUCAUAUGCAGGCUAAACGUGUAGAAAGCUUUUGGAUGCGCUGUUUGGACGGCGGUUCGAGUCCGCCCAUCUCCACCA
rnacentral:tmRNA from 1 species